UCUGGGAAACCCGAAAGAUCGAAAGGGGAGAUUCACCGUCAGCGACACCGGCUUCUCGACGGUUCGUCGUGCGCGCACGCGGCAUCCCUCGCGGAUGUCCCGCGUUGUCGUCGUACGGUGUCCGUUGUGCGCGCUCCGCGUGCGAUUUAUGUCCGGCGGCGUCGGCGUGCACUUCUCCCCUAGUAGAACGUCGCGACCCGUUGAGCGUCGGUCUACGGCCCGGGCUGUCGCCUGUCCCGCCGCCUCGCGGCGUCGCGGUACAGACACCCGGUGCAUCCCCCGACCGGCUGCCCGGCGGUAUUACGCACACGGUACUCUGGCCGCAAUCUUUGAACUGCGUCCUUCGAAAAAGGCUCGCCGCAAGCGCGGUCAGUGAUGUCUACUCCCCGGUGGUUCGGACGAACUAUGCCGUCCCCGGGCCUGACCCGCUGUUCGCCGGCGAUGUCCUCGGACAGGCCACGUACGUACCGGUCGGCGACGCUAUUGCUUUGG
rnacentral:rRNA from 1 species